rnacentral:rRNA from 1 species
AAGGCCCCUUCGGGGGCCGAGUAGAGUGGCGCACGGGUGAGUAACACGUAGGUAAUCUACCUCUGGGUGGGGAAUAACGACCGGAAACGGUCGCUAAUACCGCAUAAUGCAGCGGCACCACAUGGUGACAGUUGUUAAAGCGGGGGAUCGUAAGACCUCGCGCCUAGAGAUGAGCCUGCGGCGGAUUAGCUAGUUGGCAGGGUAACGGCCUACCAAGGCGACGAUCCGUAGCCGGCCUGAGAGGGCGGACGGCCACACUGGCACUGACAUACGGGCCAGACUCCUACGGGAGGCAGCAGUCGGGAAUUUUGGGCAAUGGGCGAAAGCCUGACCCAGCAACGCCGCGUGAAGGAUGAAGCUUUUCGGAGUGUAAACUUCAUAAGAAUGGGACGAAUAAGGAGGGGUUAACACCCCCUUUGAUGACGGUACCAUUUGUAAGCUCCGGCUAACUCCGUGCCAGCAGCCGCGGUAACACGGGGGGAGCAAGCGUUGUUCGGAUUUACUGGGCGUAAAGGGCGCGUAGGCGGCGCAACAAGUCACUUGUGAAAUCUCCGGGCUUAACCCGGAGCGGCCAAGUGAUACUGUCGUGCUAGAGUGCGGAAGGGGCUACUGGAAUUCUCGGUGUAGCGGUGAAAUGCGUAGAUAUCGAGAGGAACACCUGCGGCGAAGGCGGGUAGCUGGGCCGACACUGACGCUGAGGCGCGAAAAGCAGGGGAGCGAACGGGAUUAGAUACCCCGGUAGUCCUGGCCUUAAACGAUGGAUACU